AUUGAACGCUGGCGGCAUGCCUUACACAUGCAAGUCGAACGGCAGCACGGGGCAACCUGGUGGCGAGUGGCGAACGGGUGAGUAAUGCAUCGGAACGUACCUUUCAGUGGGGGAUAACGUAGCGAAAGUUACGCUAAUACCGCAUAUUCUGUGAGCAGGAAAGCAGGGGAUCGCAAGACCUUGCGCUGAUUGAGCGGCCGAUGUCAGAUUAGCUAGUUGGUGAGGUAAAGGCUCACCAAGGCGACGAUCUGUAGCGGGUCUGAGAGGAUGAUCGUCCACACUGGAACUGAGGCACGGUCCAGACUCCUACGGGAGGCAGCAGUGGGGAAUUUUGGACAAUGGGGGCAACCCUGAUCCAGCCAUGCCGCGUGAGUGAAGAAGGCCUUCGGGUUGUAAAGCUCUUUCGGCCGGGAAGAAAUCGUAUGGGUUAAUACCCUGUGCGGAUGACGGUACCGGCAUAAGAAGCACCGGCUAACUACGUGCCAGCAGCCGCAGUAAGAC
rnacentral:rRNA from 1 species